GCUCCUUUUUUUCUUUUUUCGGAUGACUAUAUCUUAAUAUGCGCUCAAGUCUUUGCCCAACAAUGACAGCUGUUCAUCUGAUAGUAACUUCUUUCCAAGUUCUCUCCCCUCCCACCCCGGGGCCCCCGGUCUCUGUCUUGCUUUGUUGUUUUAAAAUAUGCAUGUCUCUCCGGAAUGCCAGUCACGGGUCCAAACUUUGUGUGUCCCAACCUCCCACAUGAUGAAAUGAUCCUUUUAAAGCGGGCUCAAUAUGUCUCAAUCUGCACUCCUCUUCUCUCUCUAAAGCUUCUGAGUUCGGGACACAGACCAGAAAUAUAUUAAUUAAAGCGCACGGCCGCAGACUUUCUUUUUUUUUUCUUCAAACACUGACGAAGAAACGGUUGGAUCAAGUCAAACUCUGUCAGCGACGGAUGGAUGAAGAUUCACAGCAGGAAAAGACAAAAAAAGCGAUAAAUGGCGCGGCGCUCUCCCGUUCACCCUGAACUGCCGAUGAACUCCUGCGGAACGCCGCCAGCCUCUCCACCCUAUCCCUUCGCCGCUCGGGGUCACCAGGGGGGCGUCUCUGUGCCAAUAUGCAGAUGAGACUGUGCCCCUCCAAUGACUCUGGACUCUGGAUCCACCCCUCUAUAUGGUUGAGGCUUUGAGAAGAAGUCCACCCCCCCCCUCCACUCACACACAUAGAGACAUAAACCCACUCUCACAUUGGUUUAAAUGGGCCUUUAACAGCUUACGUCCACUCUUCAUUUAAUAGCCAAAGUGUGUCGAACCUAAUGGAUGUUGUCAAAGCUGAGAUGUGACCACUGAUUUAGAGGAGGGACCCUGAUGCCAGGCUUCACUGGCCACUAAAGACACAGAGGGAGAGAGAAUUACCUCAGCUAUGCCACAAAUCAAAGUAAUAUCUUUAAAAGAUGUCUGGAUCGAUGAGGUGUCAUCUGGCUGUGUGCAAAGUGAACCCAUAAACAGCCAGGGAGUACUACUUUAGUCUCAGAUUUAGUCGCUUGCUGAGAAAGUUUUUUUUCUCUUAACCAAUAAGCAGAUUUUUUUUGUUUAUGGCCAAUUGAUUUCAUGUAUUGUUAAGACAAGAUUUAACAGGCAGAGAGCUCUUCCAUUUCCACGAUUUUAAUUAUAACUUGUAUCUUGUAUUUAAUCGGUCAAACUAUGAAAAUAAAGUACCUUGUGCA